AAUGAACGCGGGCGGCAGGCCUAACACAUGCAAGUCGAACGGAGGAGGAGGGAUGAGUGGCGGACGGGAGAGGAAAGCGUGGGAACAUACCCAAAGGUACGGAAUAGCCUCGGGAAAAGGGGAGUAAUACCGUAUGUGCUCGAAAGAGGAAAGAUUUAUCGCCUUUGAAUUGGCCCGCGGUGGAUGAGAUAGUUGGUGGGGUAAUGGCCUACCAAGCCGACGAUCCAUAGCUGGUUUGAGAGGAUGAUCAGCCACACUGGGACUGAGACACGGCCCAGACUCCUACGGGAGGCCGCAGUGGGGAAUCUUAGACAAUGGGGGAAACCCUGAUCUAGCCAUGCCGCGUGAUCGAUGAAGGCCUUAGGGUUGUAAAGAUCUUUCAGGUGGGAAGAUAAUGACUGUACCACCAGAAGAAGCCCCGGCUAACUCCGUGCCGGCCGCCGCAGUAA
rnacentral:rRNA from 1 species